rnacentral:rRNA from 1 species
AUGCCCCCUCGGGUCAAAGUGUUCAUGUGGCUCGCUUCGAGAGGGGGCAUUCUAACUAAAAAUAACUUGAUUAGAAGGGGGUGGUCUGGAGAUAGUAAAUGUUCAUUUCGUGGGAGGGAAGAAGAUAUUAAUCAUCUGUUCUUUCAUUGUUCGAUUGCAAGAUUGUUGUGGAUGGCCAUGAAAUGCUUGUUUGGUAUGCAUGACAUCCAUGAUAACAUCCAACACUUGUUUGGGAUCUGGAUCAGAAAGUUUAAUAAAAGUGACAGAAAUCUUAUGACAGUUGGGUUUUCUGCUAUCUUCUGGACAUUAUGGAAACUUAGAAACAAAGUUGUGUUUGAUAAUAGCAGGGUUACCGAUCCCUGCGUUCCAGUUAGCAUGAUCAUUAAAUGGUUGCAUGAUUGUAAUGUGUUGCAGAAAAACUAA